rnacentral:sRNA from 12 species
AGCCUAAACCUUUAGAAAUAAAGGCACGGCGAAGAAAGUCAGAACAUGCAUAAAGAACCCAUCAUGGGGUCGCAUGUUCUGCCGUAUCGGGAAACUGAUAUGAGUGGCGCAAGCCACU